CGCGUGCGCACGGGGAGGCCGAGCCUGGCGCGCGCGGCGGGGCCCUCUGCGCCUGCGCAGUGCGCUGACCCGGAAGACGCCGGCCGAUUCCAGGGCAGGUGUGCAGGGGGUGAAGUCCGUCCUGCUCAUACUUUCUAGCGACCCUGUCGCGCCGUCAGACCGAGCCCAUCCUCCGCUUGGAUCCUGCAGGUCUUCGCUUUGUGUGUUAAAUGGGCGCCGACCCCCAGCCCCAAGCCUUUACCUAGUAUCGCACAUCACACAUCUGUAAGUGAGUGUUUACCGUCUCCCCGGGGUGGGGUUACUCCUCUCUCCCGCCAUCACCCCACUACCUGCCUCCUAGUAUCCCUCCCUGAAACUCGUUCUCGCCCGAGGGCUUCUUACAUUCUCUGUCUCCUCUGCCUGGGAGGCUCCUCCCGCAGGCAUUUCCAUGCCACUCACUUCAUUCAGGCUCCUGUCACUGCCUCAGACAGACCUCCCCCGCCUCCCUAUCUACAACAGCACACCCAGGUCCCAUUCCCUCCCCACGCGUGGGCUUUCUUCAUAGCACUUUGCCACUCCCUGUCUUUCAUGUUUAUUCCCUCCCUCCUCCCACCCUCCAGUGUCAGUGGUAUGAGCAUGGGCACCCUGUCCAUUGCUAUUCACAUAAUGGAACACAUUGAAUAUUCCAUGAAUGAAUAAACAGACUUAUUAAAGCUU